rnacentral:rRNA from 2 species
UUUAUGGAGAGUUUGAUCCUGGCUCAGGAUGAACGCUGGCGGCGUGCCUAAUACAUGCAAGUCGAGCGAACGGACGAGAAGCUUGCUUCUCUGAU